GUUUUUUCUUCCCCUCUUUUGUUAGUUUCACUUCAAUCAAGAUUUUCUAACUUCCUUGUUACAACAUAUGCUUGAUCAUCAGGGAAGAAGGCAUUUGAAUAGCAACCCAGUUUGAUACCAUGACCUCCAGUAACUCUUGAACCUGUGUAUGAACGUGCCAGCUGAGAUACAAAGAACAAAUAAAAAUGUUGCUUUCCAGCACUCCAUUAGAAAUGUGAAUGGGAUGAAGACAGCAACUUCUGGAGAAGACAGAGGCUUCUGUGUUGAGCAUCCAUUUCCUCUUCGGAAGGCAGCUGCAGCUGUUCUGGCUUUCUGCCAUCAAGGCACUGGCAUCUGGUAUAAGCAACACAGACAUCUCCUGCUCCUGGCAGUCUUCUGUCUUAGGGUACUUGUCUCUUACAUCCAUGAAUGCUUCAUAUAUAACUACAUAGAGAACUCUGCAAGCUUGUAAGUAUUGUUUCUCAAAGCAGAAAUUAGAUUGGAGGUAAAGCCUAGAAACACUGCUUGAAGACUGUCUCUACCUCCUCUCUGGAAAGAGCACUUUGGUGAUGUUCAGGGACUUUAGGUAAGAACACAAAAGAAACAGCCUAGGGAUGGUGAAGAAUGCAUGAGAUUCAAAGGAGAAAGUAGAAAGAUGGAUUUGACAUUAUUUGUAGGAAGGAAAUAACCCUUUUGUCUUCUGACAUUCAUUAGGGGAUAGAUAAAGUGAACCAACUGAAGCUGGAAGUGAAACAUAAAUAUAGGGAAUGUGAUGUGCAUAGGGAGCCUUUUACAUGAUUUUGUAAAGUUUUAACUCAGGUUCUAAAAUCUAUGUUUUGUUUAAUAAAUAAAGCAUUGCUUUCUAUUAACA
rnacentral:lncRNA from 1 species